rnacentral:rRNA from 1 species
GAUGAACGCUAGCGGCAGGCUUAAUACAUGCAAGUCGAACGGUAAAUAUUUUAGCAAUAAGAUAUGAGAGUGACGUACGGGUGCGUAACACGUAUGCAACCUACCUUGUACAGGAGUAUAGCUCGGGGAAACUCGAAUUAACCCUUCAUAAGAUCAUAGAAUGGCAUCAUUUAGUGAUUAAAUCUUCGGAGGUACAAGAUGGGCAUGCGUCUGAUUAGUUAGUUGGCGGGGUAACGGCCCACCAAGACGAUGAUCAGUAGGGGAACUGAGAGGUUGAUCCCCCACACUGGCACUGAGAUACGGGCCAGACUCCUACGGGAGGCAGCAGUAGGGAAUAUUGGUCAAAGGAUGGAAGUCUGAACCAGCCAUGCCGCGUGCAGGAAGAAGGCCUUCUGGGUUGUAAACUGCUUUUGCCAGGGGAUAAAAUGACGGUGCGCCGUUAAUUGAAGGUACCUGGUGAAUAAGCCACGGCUAACUACGUGCCAGCAGCCGCGGUAAUACGUAGGUGGCAAGCGUUGUCCGGAUUUAUUGGGUUUAAAGGGUGCGUAGGCGGUCUAUUAAGUCAGCGGUGAAAUACUCCAGCUUAACUGGAGGGGUGCCAUUGAUACUGAUGGACUUGAGUCAAGUCAAGGUAGGCGGAA